rnacentral:rRNA from 1 species
UACGUAGGGUGCGAGCGUUAAUCGGAAUUACUGGGCGUAAAGCGUGCGCAGGCGGUGAUGUAAGACCGAUGUGAAAUCCCCGGGCUUAACCUGGGAACUGCAUUGGUGACUGCAUUGCUGGAGUAUGGCAGAGGGGGGUGGAAUUCCACGUGUAGCAGUGAAAUGCGUAGAGAUGUGGAGGAACACCGAUGGCGAAGGCAGCCCCCUGGGCCAAUACUGACGCUCAUGCACGAAAGCGUGGGGGAGCAAACAGG